UAGAAAGUCUAUUAGUAGCCCAGGGUGAGAAAUACUAAUUCUUCAUCCUGGUCAGUUGGCUGAGCCAGAUCUUACGUCAGUGUCCAACGAAGUCGCCACGGUUUUAAGACUGUAAAAAGCCUACCGUCCCCGCUGUAAAAUUACAUCGGGUUGAGGUAAUUUUACCUUUUAUGCGUUGAUGUCUCGAACCCAGCCACCUCCCCGUCCUUUUCCGCUCUUUAUUAAAAAAGAAAAGGAAAAAAAUCUACGGACGGUUUCGACGGCGAACGGCGGCAUGGUGCUCAGCGGGUUGACUUGGUCUUGGGCGGCGCCGUCGUUGCUGUUGGCGGUGCAGACUCAGCGGCGCGGUGCUCGGUGGUAGUAGGUGGCAUCGGCGGUGUGGUGAGUUCUUUGGGUUCCUCAGUGCCGGGCAACGCGGGGGCUAAAUCGACUGCGACCGCUUCAUGCUCAACAACGGCCAUGACGGCACUGCUCCAUCUCGCGGGCUACGGCGGCAGUGCUCCAUCUAGCAGGCUAUGGCGGCGUCACGGACUCCAUUUUUUCCACUGUGGUGGGCGGUCGUCGAUUCGCAAUAGGCGGACCAGUCGCGCAACAUCGUUGGUGGUCCUCAGUGUCAGGUUUCCUUCAUUGUUGGCUUGCUUAUUUGAUGUGCUUUGCAUCUCCUCCCUGCAACAUGGUCAGCAACCAGGUCUUCGACGAUGUUGCUCUCCAGUAUCGCCCCCUCUUGAUAAAUUUGCAGUAGAAUCUGUCUAUUUUAUACGCCCAAUAUGGUUAUAUUUAGCCCCUGUUCGGAAUCCCACCUGCUCCACCAAAUACCAGGAGCUGUGGAGCAAGGAUACAGCGGCUCCGCGUUUUUCUACCAUGUCUCCACCCGCUCCGGGAGUGGAGCUGUGGAGUCGGAGGUAAUCCGAACAGGGCGUUAGUAAAGAAGUUUAGUUAUCUGCCCAUAAGUAUGAAUCUUUGUUGACUUGCA